rnacentral:rRNA from 1 species
UCGCGGCCUAUCAGCUUGUUGGUGAGGUAACGGCUCACCAAGGCAUUGACGGGUAGCUAGUCUGAGAGGACGAAUAGCCACACUGGGACUGAGACACGGCCCAGACUCCUACGGGAGGCAGCAGCAGGGAAUCUUGCACAAUGGACGAAAGUCUGAUGCAGCGACGCCGCGUGGGGGAUGAAGGCCUUAGGGUCGUAAACCCCUUUCAGUGGGGACGAAACUGACGGUACCCACAGAAGAAGGUCCGGCCAACUACGUGCCAGCAGCCGCGGUAAGACGUAGGGACCGAGCGUUGUCCGGAAUUAUUGGGCGUAAAGAGCUCGUAGGCGGUUGCGUAAGUCGGAUGUGAAAACUCAGGGCUCAACCCUGAGACGCCAUCCGAUACUGCGCUGACUUGAAUCCAGUAGGGGAGUGUGGAAUUCCUGGUGUAGCGGUGAAAUGCGCAGAUAUCAGGAGGAACACCUAUGGCGAAGGCAGCACUCUGGGCCGGCACCGACGCUGAGGAGCGAAAGCAUGGGUAGCAAACAGGAUUAGAUACCCUGGUAGUCCAUGCCGUAAACGGUGGGCACUAGGUGUGGGGACUUUCAACGGUUUCCGUGGAAGCUAACGCAUUAAGUGCCCCGCCUGGGGAGUACGG